AGCGGCUGUGCGGUGAGCGCG
rnacentral:misc_RNA from 1 species